CACAGAGAGCUUGCUCUCGGGUGACGAGCGGCGGACGGGUGAGUAAUGUCUGGGAAACUGCCUGAUGGAGGGGGAUAACUACUGGAAACGGUAGCUAAUACCGCAUAAUGUCGCAAGACCAAAGUGGGGGACCUUCGGGCCUCAUGCCAUCAGAUGUGCCCAGAUGGGAUUAGCUAGUAGGUGGGGUAACGGCUCACCUAGGCGACGAUCCCUAGCUGGUCUGAGAGGAUGACCAGCCACACUGGAACUGAGACACGGUCCAGACUCCUACGGGAGGCAGCAGUGGGGAAUAUUGCACAAUGGGCGCAAGCCUGAUGCAGCCAUGCCGCGUGUGUGAAGAAGGCCUUCGGGUUGUAAAGCACUUUCAGCGGGGAGGAAGGCGGUGAGGUUAAUAACCUCAUCGAUUGACGUUACCCGCAGAAGAAGCACCGGCUAACUCCGUGCCAGCAGCCGCGGUAAUACGGAGGGUGCAAGCGUUAAUCGGAAUUACUGGGCGUAAAGCGCACGCAGGCGGUCUGUCAAGUCGGAUGUGAAAUCCCCGGGCUCAACCUGGGAACUGCAUUCGAAACUGGCAGGCUAGAGUCUUGUAGAGGGGGGUAGAAUUCCAGGUGUAGCGGUGAAAUGCGUAGAGAUCUGGAGGAAUACCGGUGGCGAAGGCGGCCCCCUGGACAAAGACUGACGCUCAGGUGCGAAAGCGUGGGGAGCAAACAGGAUUAGAUACCCUGGUAGUCCACGCCGUAAACGAUGUCGAUUUGGAGGUUGUGCCCUUGAGGCGUGGCUUCCGGAGCUAACGCGUUAAAUCGACCGCCUGGGGAGUACGGCCGCAAGGUUAAAACUCAAAUGAAUUGACGGGGGCCCGCACAAGCGGUGGAGCAUGUGGUUUAAUUCGAUGCAACGCGAAGAACCUUACCUGGUCUUGACAUCCACAGAACUUUCCAGAGAUGGAUUGGUGCCUUCGGGAACUGUGAGACAGGUGCUGCAUGGCUGUCGUCAGCUCGUGUUGUGAAAUGUUGGGUUAAGUCCCGCAACGAGCGCAACCCUUAUCCUUUGUUGCCAGCGGUCCGGCCGGGAACUCAAAGGAGACUGCCAGUGAUAAACUGGAGGAAGGUGGGGAUGACGUCAAGUCAUCAUGGCCCUUACGACCAGGGCUACACACGUGCUACAAUGGCAUAUACAAAGAGAAGCGACCUCGCGAGAGCAAGCGGACCUCAUAAAGUAUGUCGUAGUCCGGAUUGGAGUCUGCAACUCGACUCCAUGAAGUCGGAAUCGCUAGUAAUCGUAGAUCAGAAUGCUACGGUGAAUACGUUCCCGGGCCUUGUACACACCGCCCGUCACACCAUGGGAGUGGGUUGCAAAAGAAGU
rnacentral:rRNA from 1 species